CACAGAGCCAGGUGUAAUGCCACUGUCCUGUACUAACCCAGAUCUAUAGGUAACCUAGAUCUAUAGGUAACAUUCCACAGAGCCAGGUGUAAUGCCACUGUCCUGCACUAACCUAGAUCUAUAGGUAACCUAGAUCUAUAGGUAACAUUCCACAGAGCCAGGUGUAAUGCCACUGUCCUGCACUAACCUAGAUCUAUAGGUAACAUUCCACAGAGCCAGGUGUAAUGCCACUGUCCUGCACUAACCUAGAUCUAUAGGUAACCCAGAUCUAUAGGUAACAUUCCACAGAGCCAGGUGUAAUGCCACUGUCCUGUACUAACCUAGAUCUAUAGGUAACCUAGAUCUAUAGGUAACAUUCCACAGAGCCAGGUGUAAUGCCACUGUCCUGUACUAACCCAGAUCUAUAGGUAACCUAGAUCUAUAGGUAACAUUCCACAGAGCCAGGUGUAAUGCCACUGUCCUGCACUAACCUAGAUCUAUAGGUAACCUAGAUCUAUAGGUAACAUUCCACAGAGCCAGGUGUAAUGCCACUGUCCUGUACUAACCUAGAUCUAUAGGUAACCUAGAUCUAUAGGUAACAUUCCACAGAGCCAGGUGUAAUGCCACUGUCCUGCACUAACCCAGAUCUAUAGGUAACCUAGAUCUAUAGGUAACAUUCCACAGAGCCAGGUGUAAUGCCACUGUCCUGCACUAACCUAGAUCUAUAGGUAACCUAGAUCUAUAGGUAACAUUCCACAGAGCCAGGUGUAAUGCCACUGUCCUGCACUAACCUAGAUCUAUAGGUAACAUAGAUCUAUAGGUAACAUUCCACAGAGCCAGGUGUAAUGCCACUGUCCUGCACUAACCUAGAUCUAUAGGUAACAUAGAUCUAUAGGUAACAUUCCACAGAGCCAGGUGUAAUGCCACUGUCCUGCACUAACCUAGAUCUAUAGGUAACAUAGAUCUAUAGGUAACAUUCCACAGAGCCAGGUGUAAUGCCACUGUCCCUCACUAACAUAGAUCUAUAGGUAACCUAGAUCUAUAGGUAACAUUCCACAGAGCCAGGUGUAAUGCCACUGUCCUGCACUAACCCAGAUCUAUAGGUAACCUAGAUCUAUAGGUAACAUUCCACAGAACCAGGUGUAAUGCCACUGUCCUGCACUAACCUAGAUCUAUAGGUAACAUUCCACAGAGCCAGGCGUAAUGCCACUGUCCUGCACUAACCUAGAUCUAUAGGUAACCCAGAUCUAUAGGUAACAUUCCACAGAGCCAGGUGUAAUGCCACUGUCCUGCACUAACCUAGAUCUAUAGGUAACCUAGAUCUAUAGGUAACAUUCCACAGAGCCAGGUGUAAUGCCACUGUCCUGUACUAACCCAGAUCUAUAGGUAACCUAGAUCUAUAGGUAACAUUCCACAGAGCCAGGUGUAAUGCCACUGUCCUGCACUAACCUAGAUCUAUAGGUAACCUAGAUCUAUAGGUAACAUUCCACAGAGCCAGGUGUAAUGCCACUGUCCUGCACUAACCUAGAUCUAUAGGUAACAUUCCACAGAGCCAGGUGUAAUGCCACUGUCCUGCACUAACCUAGAUCUAUAGGUAACCCAGAUCUAUAGGUAACAUUCCACAGAGCCAGGUGUAAUGCCACUGUCCUGUACUAACCUAGAUCUAUAGGUAACCUAGAUCUAUAGGUAACAUUCCACAGAGCCAGGUGUAAUGCCACUGUCCUGUACUAACCCAGAUCUAUAGGUAACCUAGAUCUAUAGGUAACAUUCCACAGAGCCAGGUGUAAUGCCACUGUCCUGCACUAACCUAGAUCUAUAGGUAACCUAGAUCUAUAGGUAACAUUCCACAGAGCCAGGUGUAAUGCCACUGUCCUGUACUAACCUAGAUCUAUAGGUAACCUAGAUCUAUAGGUAACAUUCCACAGAGCCAGGUGUAAUGCCACUGUCCUGCACUAACCCAGAUCUAUAGGUAACCUAGAUCUAUAGGUAACAUUCCACAGAGCCAGGUGUAAUGCCACUGUCCUGCACUAACCUAGAUCUAUAGGUAACCUAGAUCUAUAGGUAACAUUCCACAGAGCCAGGUGUAAUGCCACUGUCCUGCACUAACCUAGAUCUAUAGGUAACAUAGAUCUAUAGGUAACAUUCCACAGAGCCAGGUGUAAUGCCACUGUCCUGCACUAACCUAGAUCUAUAGGUAACAUAGAUCUAUAGGUAACAUUCCACAGAGCCAGGUGUAAUGCCACUGUCCUGCACUAACCUAGAUCUAUAGGUAACAUAGAUCUAUAGGUAACAUUCCACAGAGCCAGGUGUAAUGCCACUGUCCCUCACUAACAUAGAUCUAUAGGUAACAUUCCACAGAGCCAGGUGUAAUGCCACUGUCCUGCACUAACCUAGAUCUAUAGGUAACCUAGAUCUAUAGGUAACAUUCCACAGAGCCAGGUGUGAUGCCACUGUCCUGCACUAACCUAGAUCUAUAGGUAACCUAGAUCUAUAGGUAACAUUCCACAGAGCCAGGUGUAAUGCCACUGUCCUGCACUAACCCAGAUCUAUAGGUAACCUAGAUCUAUAGGUAACCUAGAUCUAUAGGUAACAUUCCACAGAGCCAGGUGUAAUGCCACUGUCCUGCACUAACCUAGAUCUAUAGGUAACAUUCCACAGAGCCAGGUGUAAUGCCACUGUCCUGCACUAACCUAGAUCUAUAGGUAACAUUCCACAGAGCCAGGUGUAAUGCCACUGUCCUGCACUAACCUAGAUCUAUAGGUAACAUUCCACAGAGCCAGGCGUAAUGCCACUGUCCUGUACUAACCUAGAUCUGUAGGUAACAUUCCACAGAGCCAGGCGUAAUGCCACUGUCCUGUACUAACCUAGAUCUAUAGGUAACAUUCCACAGAGCCAGGCGUAAUGCCACUGUCCUGCACUAACCUAGAUCUAUAGGUAACCUAGAUCUAUAGGUAACAUUCCACAGAGCCAGGCGUAAUGCCACUGUCCUGUACUAACCUAGAUCUAUAGGUAACCUAGAUCUAUAGGUAACAUUCCACAGAGCCAGGUGUAAUGCCACUGUCCUGCACUAACCUAGAUCUAUAGGUAACCUAGAUCUAUAGGUAACAUUCCACAGAGCCA